rnacentral:misc_RNA from 1 species
GAUGAAGAACGUAGUGAAAUGCGAUAAGUAAUGUGAAUUGCAGAAUUCAGUGAACCAUCGAAUCUUUGAACGCACAUUGCGCCCGCCAGUAUUCUGGCGGGCAUGCCUGUCCGAGCGUCAUCUCAACCCUCGAGCCCCCCCGGGGGCUCGGCGUUGGGGACCGGCCCCGCCCCAGGGCGCGCCGCCCCCCAAAUACAGUGGCGGUCCCGCCGCAGCCUCCCCUGCGCAGUAGCUUGCACACUCGCACCGGAGAGCGGCGCGGCCACGCCGUAAAACCCCCCGACCACGGAGCCCCGGCUCCUGAACGUUGACCUCGGAUCAGGUAGGAAUACCCGCUGAACUUAAGCAUAUCAAUAAGCGGAGGA